UACGAAGGGGGCGAGCGUUGUUCGGAUUUACUGGGCGUAAAGGGCGCGCAGGCGGUCUUGAAAGUCAGGCGUGAAAGCCCCGGGCUUAACCUGGGAAUUGCGCUUGAUACUCUGAGACUGGAGUACGGGAGAGGAGAGUGGAAUUCCUGGUGUAGCGGUGAAAUGCGCAGAUAUCAGGAAGAACACCCGUGGCUAAGGCGGCUCUCUAGUACGGUACUGACGCUGAGACGCGAAAGCGUGGGGAGCGAACAGG
rnacentral:rRNA from 1 species